AACGAACGCUGGCGGCAGGCCUAACACAUGCAAGUCGAGCGAAGCCUUCGGGCUUAGCGGCGGACGGGUGAGUAACGCGUGGGAACGUGCCCUUUGGUACGGAAUAGCCCCGGGAAACUGGGAGUAAUACCGUAUGUGGUCGAGAGACGAAAGAUUUAUCGCCGAAGGAACGGCCCGCGUUGGAUUAGGUAGUUGGUGGGGUAAUGGCCUACCAAACCGACGAUCCAUAGCUGGUUUGAGAGGAUGAUCAGCCACACUGGGACUGAGACACGGCCCAGACUCCUACGGGAGGCAGCAGUGGGGAAUCUUAGACAAUGGGGGAAACCCUGAUCUAGCCAUGCCGCGUGAUCGAUGAAGGCCUUAGGGUUGUAAAGAUCUUUCAGUGGGGAAGAUAAUGACUGUACCCACAGAAGAAGCCCCGGCUAACUCCGUGCCAGCAGCCGCCGUAAUAC
rnacentral:rRNA from 1 species